CAGUAGCCGCGGGAAUACGGAGGGGGCUAGCGUUGUUCGGAAUUACUGGGCGUAAAGCGCACGUAGGCGGCUUUGUAAGUUAGAGGUGAAAGCCCGGAGCUCAACUCCGGAAUUGCCUUUAAGAUUGCAGAGCUAGCGGGUGAGAGAGGUGAGUGGAAUUCCGAGUGUAGAGGUGAAAUUCGUAGAUAUUCGCAAGAACACCAGUGGCGAAGGCGGCUAACUGGUCCAUAACUGACGCUGAGGUGCGAAAGCGUGGGGAGCAAACAGGAUUAGAUACCCCUGUAGUCCCUGUCUCUUAUAC
rnacentral:rRNA from 1 species